rnacentral:tRNA from 1 species
GCGGACGUGGCGGAAUGGUAUACGCAGUAGCUUGAGGAGCUACGCUCUUUGGAGCAUGUGGGUUCGAGUCCCACCGUCCGCACCA